rnacentral:rRNA from 1 species
CACGUAGGGUGCGAGCGUUAAUCGGAAUUACUGGGCGUAAAGCGUGCGCAGGCGGUUUUGUAAGCCAGAUGUGAAAUCCCCGGGCUUAACCUGGGAAUGGCAUUUGGGACUGCAAGGCUGGAGUUUGGCAGAGGAGACUGGAAUUCCUGGUGUAGCAGUGAAAUGCGUAGAUAUCAGGAGGAAUACCGGUGGCGAAGGCGGCAUCCUGGACCGACAUUGACGCUGAUGAGCGAAAGCUAGGGGAGCAAACGGG